rnacentral:rRNA from 1 species
AUUGAACGCUGGCGGCAUGCUUUACACAUGCAAGUCGAACGGCAGCGCGGGCUUCGGCCUGGCGGCGAGUGGCGAACGGGUGAGUAAUACAUCGGGACGUGCCCAGUAGUGGGGGAUAGCUCGGCGAAAGCCGGAUUAAUACCGCAUACGACCUGAGGGUGAAAGCGGGGGUUCUUCGGACCUCGCGCUUUUGGAGCGGCCGAUGGCAGAUUAGCUAGUUGGUGGGGUAAAGGCCUACCAAGGCGACGAUCUGUAGCUGGUCUGAGAGGACGACCAGCCACACUGGGACUGAGACACGGCCCAGACUCCUACGGGAGGCAGCAGUGGGGAAUUUUGGACAAUGGGCGAAAGCCUGAUCCAGCAAUGCCGCGUGUGUGAUGAAGGCCUUCGGGUUGUAAAGCACUUUUGGCGGGAACGAAAAGGACUGUGCCAAUACCACGGUUCGAUGACGGUACCCGCAGAAUAAGCACCGGCUAACUACGUG